GCCGGGGUGGUGAAAUUGGUAGACACAGCAGACUUAAAAUCUGCCGACCUUCGGGUCGUGCCGGUUCAAUUCCGGCCCUCGGCACCA
rnacentral:tRNA from 2 species